ACUGCUAUCGGGAUGGGACUAAGACAUGCUAGUUGAGCGCCUUUCAGCCAUGUGAGAGCGCAGCGUACAGCUCAGUAACACGUGGCUAACCUGCCCUUGGGAUGGGAACAACCCCGGGAAACUGGGGCUAAUUCCCGAUAGGUGAAGAACUCUGGAAUGAGUCUUUGCCCAAAAGGUGUCGGAUCAUGCUUUCGGCAUCGCCCAAGGAUGGGGCCGCGACCGAUCAGGUUGUUGGUGAGGUAAUGGCCCACCAAGCCUAUAACCGGUGCGGGCCGUGAGAGCGGGAGCCCGGAGAUGGGCGCUGAGACAAGGGCCCAGGCCCUACGGGGCGCAGCAGUCGCGAAAACUUUGCAAUACACGAAAGUGUGACAGGGCUAUCCCGAGUGCCAUCCGCUGAGGAAGGCUUUUACCCAGUCUAGAAAGCUGGGGGAAUAAGGAGAGGGCAAGUCUGGUGUCAGCCGCCGCGGUAAUACUAGCUCUCCGAGUGGUGUGGAUGUUUAUUGGGCCUAAAGCAUCCGUAGCUGGCUAAGUUAGUCCCUUGUUAAAUCCACCGAAUUAAUCGUUGGAUUGCGGGGGAUACUGCUUGGCUAGGGGACGAGAGAGGCAGACGGUAUUUUCGGGGUAGGGGUGAAAUCCUAUAAUCCCGGGAAGACCACCAGUGGCGAAGGCUGUCUGCUAGAACGCGCCCGACGGUGAGGGAUGAAAGCUGGGGGAGCGAACCGGAUUAGAUACCCGGGUAGUCCCAGCUGUAAACGAUGCAGGCUAGGUGUUUGGACGGCCACGUGCCGUUCUAGUGCCGCAGGGAAGCUGUUAAGCCUGCCGCCUGGGGAGUACGAUCGCAAGAUUGAAACUUAAAGGAAUUGGCGGG
rnacentral:rRNA from 1 species